AUAAUCCUGUCUUUCUCUCUCCUCAUCUCAAACCGUUUGCCGUGUUUUUACCCGGUCGGUCACCAUCGAAACCCUAGAAAUCCAUACUUUGGUUUCUUCAUCUUCUUCAUGACCCAUGCUCCGACGGUUCUGAUUCGCGAGAUGUGGUCGGCAAAUCUUCCGGUUGUUCGACGCAUUUGCUGCAAUCACGUCUACAAAAAGUUCCUACAUCCACCGCCGAUUCAGUGGUGGUGAUUUUUUUUCCCAUGAUUUCUAUUCUCCUACUCAAUUUUGUCAACGACCGAUACUGGUGCUGCAAAAAGACGACCUCCACAUUUUUUUGUUUCGGUGAGCAGCGAGUUGUAGAUUUCAAUCAAGUGGCAAUUCAUGCUCAUCAGUUUAAGGGGAGUAAUUCUAGGGAGGAGGGUUCUUCUUCUCUGCCUAUCUGUCGCCAUCCAGUUCCAAACAACCAGUGGCACGGUUGCCGAGUUCUGCCAGCUGAAGUUACUAAACUUCUUCAGAAUAAUUGCCUUCUGUCUGAGGUUCUCUGAGAUAUAUCAGGAGAUAGUGGCAAAACCAUUAUAUUCUCUUCUUUCUUCCGUUCAAACAGAUGAUUUCUUCAAACAAUAGCAGAACAUCGCCAAUACAAAAUUCUGGACCAGGAGGAAGGAAUUGAGGUGAACAAUGGAGCAUUUGUGGAUUCUGGGAAGAUUGAUUGCAAGGCUGUUGCUUUUUAUACACGAAUUCGGAAAUUGUAUUCUAAAAAAUGGAUUCGAAUUAAAUUGGAGCUGUCUGACUUUUUAGUUUUCUUUGAUUACCUUAGUGGAUUAUCAAGUUUAGAUACAUCAGUUGCAACAUAAUAAUUUUAAGUUUUUUUAAUACUUUCGCACGCAUCGCGUGCAUAUAA